rnacentral:rRNA from 1 species
UACGUAGGGUGCAAGCGUUAAUCGGAAUUACUGGGCGUAAAGCGUGCGCAGGCGGUUCGUUGUGUCGGUGGUGAAAGCCCCGGGCUUAACCUGGGAAUGGCCAUGGAAACUGGCGAACUGGAGUGUGGCAGAGGGGGGUGGAAUUCCGCGUGUAGCAGUGAAAUGCGUAGAGAUGCGGAGGAACACCGAUGGCGAAGGCAGCCCCCUGGGCUAGCACUGACGCUCAGGCACGAAAGCGUGGGGAGCAAACAGG